rnacentral:rRNA from 1 species
UACGUAGGUGGCAAGCGUUGUCCGGAAUUAUUGGGCGUAAAGAGCUCGUAGGCGGUCCGUCGCGUCGAAUGUGAAAACCCGGGGCUCAACUCCGGGCUUGCAUUCGAUACGGGCGGACUAGAGUUCGGUAGGGGAGACUGGAAUUCCUGGUGUAGCGGUGAAAUGCGCAGAUAUCAGGAGGAACACCGGUGGCGAAGGCGGGUCUCUGGGCAGUAACUGACGCUGAGGAGCGAAAGCGUGGGGAGCGAACAGG